rnacentral:rRNA from 1 species
UACAGAGGUCUCAAGCGUUGUCCGGAAUCAUUGGGCGUAAAGCGCGCGUAGGCGCCCGGUAAGUCCGUUGUGAAAGUCAAAGGCUCAACCUUUGAACGCCGAUGGAUACUGCCGGGCUAGAGUCCGGAAGAGGCGAGUGGAAUUCCUGGUGUAGCGGUGGAAUGCGCAGAUAUCAGGAGGAACACCAAUAGCGAAGGCAGCUCGCUGGGACGGUACUGACGCUGAGGCGCGAAAGCCGUGGGGAGCGAACAGGAUUAGAAAACCCUA